rnacentral:rRNA from 1 species
ACAUGCCUACAAUAUAGCAUUAAUGCACCGGAUCCCAUUAGAACUCCAUAGUUAAGUGCGCUCAGGCUAGAGUAGUACUGGGAUGGGUGAUUGCCCGGGAAGCCCUCAUAUUUACAUGCC